rnacentral:rRNA from 1 species
UACGUAGGGGGCAAGCGUUGUCCGGAUUUAUUGGGCGUAAAGAGCGUGUAGGCGGCCAGGUAGGUCAGCUGUGAAAACUCGAGGCUCAACCUCGAGACGUCGGUUGAAACCACCUGGCUAGAGUCCGGAAGAGGCGAGUGGAAUUCCCGGUGUAGCGGUGAAAUGCGCAGAUAUCGGGAAGAACACCCGUGGCGAAGGCGGCUCUCUGGGACGGUACUGACGCUGAGACGCGAAAGCGUGGGGAGCGAACAGG